rnacentral:rRNA from 1 species
GACGUAGGGCGCAAGCGUUGUCCGGAUUUAUUGGGCGUAAAGAGCUCGUAGGCGGCCUGUCGCGUCGACCGUGAAAACCCGCAGCUCAACUGCGGGCUUGCGGUCGAUACGGGCAGGCUGGAGUUCGGUAGGGGAGACUGGAAUUCCUGGUGUAGCGGUGAAAUGCGCAGAUAUCAGGAGGAACACCGGUGGCGAAGGCGCCACUCUGGGCCGAAACUGACGCUGAGGAGCGAAAGCGUGGGUAGCAAACAGG